GUUCUCACUUCAGCAGCACAUAUACUAAAAUUGGAACAAUACAGAGAAGAUUUAGCACGGUCUCUGCUCAAGGGUGACACACAAAUUCAUGAUGUGUUCCAUAUUUUU